rnacentral:lncRNA from 1 species
GCGCGCGGCAGCAGGGUUGGGCUCUCGCCGUGAGUCGACGAAGGGAGCGCGGGCGCGCGCCCGCGUCCGCGCACUGAGAGUCGCCUCGGCCGCUCGCUUUCUCGACUCCCGCCUCGCGCCUCGAUCCUGUUCCGCCUCCCUCGGCCCUCCUGCCCGCCCCCACUCGUCGGCCCUCAGGUUCCUGGAAAGUGAAAAUUUCAUUUCUUUGUGGACAGGUACCUAAAAUGUCUCAUUAUUCAUCAAUUAAUGAAAAACAAAUGAAAAUUUGAGAGAGAUAUUCUGAAGAAUAAAAGGAUCAAGUUGGGUCAUUUCUAAAAUGUAAGAUUAUAAGGUUUAACUUGCUAAGACUUUUGAGGGGUUGAAUUAUUGGUAAAUUAUUAUAGAACCACUUAUCUGAGGCUUUUAAAAGUGAUGUGUUACAGAGAUUUAGGGAACUGCAAGAUUGCAGAUAAAGAAUUUAUACUGUCAACUGUUCUAUACUUUACCUUCUGCUUUAAAUGCGGCCUUAUAUUUUGAAGUCAAACAUUUAUUUUCUCUCACUGCGUUCUGAAUUUCCUACCACAGUGCAUUUUGAGAAAUGAAUAUAACAGCAGUCUUCAUAGAUGCCAUAUUCAUGGCAACUCUGUCCCCCGCCAACACCACACCCUGGAAAAAAACCAACUUUCUAUUGUUGGAAUGAGGUAACAUUUUCAGGAAAAGGGAACCAUUUUCUCACAGGAUAUAGAACAAAUUCAACCUUUUAUUAAAUCAAAAUGGAUUCUCUAAUGUUUAUACAUAUCAUAUAGGAUUUCAUCUCUUUCAAUCUUGGUUCAAAGGCCCAGACAGUACCAUUCCCUAGUAUUUAGUCCAUUUGCUCAUAAAGCAGAAGAGAAAAGCUACUUUGUUCCGAAGGGUGUUAGAUUUAGGAUUCCAAGGUUAUUUCAAAUUAAUGCCUGGAACUAGACUAUAAAAUGCAGGAAAGAUUCUAAGUUGUUCAAAGAUGAAAUAUCUUAACUUUCACCAAAAACUCUGUCUUCUGGGUAUUUUUUGUUUUUCUGCCUUUCCAGAUUUAUUUUAAAUACAACAUUUUUGCUGUUUACAUUUUUAAAAGUUACAUUUCAAAAUUGUUCAUAAUUGGACACUUUCAUAAAAUGUAGGCAAAUGCAGUUUUACUUUUUAAUGAAGGACAAGUCUGUUGAUAACAUUUUGAUUCUUAAAAUUUUUUUUAUCUUAUAAAAAUGAAACAAUGCAUUUAAAGUGUCUUCAGCUCUUAUGUUAAUACCAAAUUAUACAUUUUCUUAGCCCAUGUUCAGGAGAGACAAUAUAUCUUCCAAAUUAAGAGAAGCUGGCACCAUUUUUAAAACAAGGCCUUGAAUCUGCUGUGGUAUGUGCUGGUAGGAAUUUUGUAUGAAGCUGUUAUUGAAGUAGAUGACAUUAAGGUCAAAGGAAAAAAAAAACAGAAAAUAAUGUAAUCCUACAGAGCUGCUCUUAAGAUCUUGAGAGAAAAACCACGUAGGUAACAUCAAACACUAGUUGGAAUCUUUCCAAGAAGUAAUUAUCUGUGUGCUGUUUGUGGUGGUUGAUUAUGGGAACAAACCAAGGUUUAGCCAAUUCAGCAAACAUUUAUGGAGUGCCUGCAAUGUGCAUGUCACUGUUUUAAGGCCUGUGCCUACUGUAAAGGUGACCCACACAUGAUGCCUGCCUUGCAGGACUUGGAGUUCAGCGAUAAUAAGAGAUGCAUACCUGAAAAGCCUAUUUAAGACUCUUCCGGUUCUACAAAGAAGGCUUCUUGAAAGUGGUAGCUUUGAUUACUCUUUGGAUUUAUUUACAUUUAUCCUAUAAUCAGAAGGUAUACAAAACAGACUCACACAUAUAUAAAAUUAAUAGAUUAGAUAGCAUUUAAACAAAUAUUUCAGGUAGGUACUUCAAAUGCAUUUGACAUUUAUCAAAGAAAUGGUAAGUGCUGUCAUCCGUGGGUGGCUGGAUUAACAUGUGGGACUACUUAUCACCAAUUUUGUUAGGGAUCUUAGGGAAAUUCCUGGAUCUUAUAUUCACAAGCAAUUGUAUAAAUACUUCCCACAGCUCAGAGACCUAAUAGGAUGGGGUCUUAGAGAAACAUCUUUUGAGCCACAGACUUCUUUGUUACCAGAAGGAAAAUGAAAGAAGAAAUUUAAAUACCACUUGAAGAGAGAGAGUGUGAAGAAAUGACCCUGAAAAGCCUCUGGCAGAGGAUUCUUCUUUCAGGAUGGUGUCGCCUCCUCAGCAGCCCAUCCUCCUCCCCUGGACUCAAGCUCUCAUUCCAGUAACACUCCUUCCUCCUUCUCCAUCUUCAGGGGGAGGUUUGCCAGUCGGUGGGUUCUAAGCAUAUCUCGCUGAUUCCCCCCAACCCUGCCGACACCUCUGUAGGUCGUCCCUUCAUUAAAAUCUCUCCAUUUGAACUAUCUGAGUUUAAUUCCAUUUCCUCCUGGUAUCUCAGUGAUACACGGUAUCAGUACAAAAAUCUCGCUUCACCUUCAGAACCAACAGAUUUGAGACAUUUUAUCCUCUGUGGAACCAUUAGUUAUUUUGUCAUUGGUUGUAUCAGAAAAAAAAAUCAGGAAUGCAAAUCCUUCUUUAUUACAGAUUCAGAUUUGCAUAUUACCAAUGUUAUAUAUUUUAAACAAAACUAUUCAUCAUAAGUUUUAAAAAUUAACUACUGGAGUAGUUAAUGAAUCUGAAUGUAAUUAUGUAGCUUUCAUAAUAUUAAAGUAAAAAUACUAAAAGAAGUAUUUCUUAAAGAAGCAAAUGCUCAAUCUCCAAGUAAAUUUUAUUCUAUGCUCUUCCGGUAUAAGAAUAUGUUAAUAUCUUGAAAAAUAUCAUAUUAUUUUGUGAACUCAUAAAGCUAUUUUGAGUUUUUGUAAAAUGAAAACCUUACCAAAAUGUAUUUUAUUGUUGGAAAGCUUGACCGUUACUGCUGUUUAAUUUUUUGAGCUUGUAAACUUUAUUUGUGCAUGUUUUCAACAAAGAAGGAUUUUAUUGUUAUUACAUAAAACAGGUGAUUUCUAGAUUUUAAAAUCACAAAUUGAAAGCAAGGCACAAUAAUAUAUAUUUCAAGAUAUAGGUACUUAGGAGGCAUCCUUUUAGUCAUCUGUUCAAUGUAGCCAUCUAUUUUACACCUACUGUCUACUAUUGUUUGAGGUCCUUGCCAAAGUAUUGCAGGCUAGUUAGGAAACAUAAAACAAUUAGAAAGUAAUCUAUGACAAGUAAGCUAUCUAUAAAUGGCAAUGAAGGGUAGAACAAAUUCAAUGAAAAUAUCUAUUUAAUCCUAGUGUUUACUGGUCUAGAAGAAUAGGCUGAGUAAAUUAGUAUUUCUCUGGCUGUUGUGGUAACACAUUGCAUGCUAUAACAGUUUUAAGUAAUUACAGGUGCAUUGAAAUUUAUCUAUGGCUUUGUCAUCAUAUUCUAAAAUGUCAUGAGUACUUUUUUCUGACCUCAAUUACUAUGAAAUUGGUUUCCAAUAUUUAAUUAACCAAGAAUAUCAAGUCUAUAGGGUAUUAUUAAGGUGAGACUUCUGUAGCCUUUUCAAUAAAGACCAGAAUUUUGGAGUGCCUUGAACCUUAAUCAUUGAUCUUUAAUUCUUAUUAAGUCAACUGCCCACCUUUUAAAGACUGAGGCCCAGGAAGAGUAAGUUUCUCUGAGACAAUGCAUACAGUACAGUGCUUCUUGGGUAUUGGCUCUAAGACCAGAUGCAAAGAAAGGCUAAAAUCCCAUUUCAUUGUUCAUUAGGUGAGAACCCUUUGUUAAGCUGUGUAACCUCUGUGCAUAGUUUCCUCAUCAGCAAAGUCAGAAAAAGUAUGUACCUGAAGGACUGAUUGUAAGGCUGGGAUGAGAGAAUCCAUGUGAUCAGCCCUCACCAACAGGUGCUGCCCAGUUCAUGAGUGCUGCUGCUGUCCUGCCCAAGUACCCAGCUUGCAGAGUGCCAGAGUUAGAGUCCCAGGGGUGUUCUCCACAGCUGCAUGCUUGAUCCAGGCCUAUCAGGUGUUAUUUGUUGACGGAACCAGGCAUCAUCAGCAAACAAAACUGACAAAGCUUCCUGCCCUCUGUGGAAGGCAUCUGAGGAAGAGACUGGAUUUUGUAGCAACAUGUUAUUCUCAUUAUAAACUUUAUCAUUGGAAUACUAAAGCCAAAUCAUCCCCCAUCUCCUUGAUCAGGAUACCCACUUAAUCUAGGCAGCUACACAAUUGUGAGAGCCUUUGUUUUUUUCUGCUGAAACAUCCUUAAAAAGAUACCUCACAACCCAAGAUUUGGCUUUUCUUAAAUACGAUUUUUAAUUUUUUUCAUUUCUAUCUAGAGAUUUAAUUGGAAAUGGAAAAUCAUCAAUUUUCCAAUUAAAUGUCUGUUCCAAUCAACAUUAUACCUUUUAGGUUGUCAUUGUCAUUUUUAAGUUUAAGCAACUUUAAGGAUUUUGAAUCUGGCUGCCUGUAAAUUAAAGGUGAAAGUAAUCAUUGUGUUGGAUUGGAACAUUUUGUCAAUUGAGAGUGGUUUCCUUGUUCUUAGUGUAUGAAAAGUUUAUUUUUCUAAUGUAGAUUAAUAAAGGAGAUAAAGAAAAACAAAAUGA